rnacentral:rRNA from 1 species
GUCGAGCGCAGGAAGCAAGUUGAUCCCCUUCGGGGGUGACGCUUGUGGAAUGAGCGGCGGACGGGUGAGUAACACGUGGGCAACCUGCCUGUAAGACUGGGAUAACCCCGGGAAACCGGGGCUAAUACCGGAUAAUACUUUCUUUUGCAUAAAGGAAAGUUGAAAGGCGGCUUCGGCUGUCACUUACAGAUGGGCCCGCGGCGCAUUAGCUAGUUGGUGAGGUAACGGCUCACCAAGGCGACGAUGCGUAGCCGACCUGAGAGGGUGAUCGGCCACACUGGGACUGAGACACGGCCCAGACUCCUACGGGAGGCAGCAGUAGGGAAUCUUCCGCAAUGGACGAAAGUCUGACGGAGCAACGCCGCGUGAGUGAUGAAGGUUUUCGGAUCGUAAAACUCUGUUGUUAGGGAAGAACAAGUACGAUAGUAACUGAUCGUACCUUGACGGUACCUAACCAGAAAGCCACGGCUAACUACGUGCCAGCAGCCGCGGUAAUACGUAGGUGGCAAGCGUUGUCCGGAAUUAUUGGGCGUAAAGCGCUCGCAGGCGGUCCUUUAAGUCUGAUGUGAAAUCUCGCGGCUCAACCGCGAACGGUCAUUGGAAACUGGAGGACUUGAGUACAGAAGAGGAGAGUGGAAUUCCACGUGUAGCGGUGAAAUGCGUAGAGAUGUGGAGGAACACCAGUGGCGAAGGCGACUCUCUGGUCUGUAACUGACGCUGAGGAGCGAAAGCGUGGGGAGCGAACAGGAUUAGAUACCCUGGUAGUCCACGCCGUAAACGAUGAGUG